rnacentral:snoRNA from 1 species
AAGACUAUACUUUCAGGGAUCAUUUCUACAGUUUAUUACUAGAGAAGUUUCUCUGGUCAUGUAGAGCCCCCUAAACCAUGAGGAAGAGCAGAACAUCUUCUCCUGAGCACGAAGCCAGUUCUAGCUACUGCUUUAACAACUGCCUUUUACCAUUGUGCGUUCUUCUUCUUUCUUUAGAAGAACGAGAGGGGAGAGGAUGUGGCUCUAAGUGA